rnacentral:rRNA from 1 species
UGAGGAAUAUUGGUCAAUGGGGCGAGAGCCUGAACCAGCCAAGUAGCGUGAGGGAUGACUGCCCUAUGGGUUGUAAACCUCUUUUGAUUGGGAACAAAGAGCGCCACGUGUGGUGCGUUGCGUGUACCUUUCGAAUAAGCAUCGGCUAAUUCCGUGCCAGCAGCCGCGGUAAUACGGAAGGUCCGGGCGUUAUCCGGAUUUAUUGGGUUUAAAGGGAGCGUAGGCCGUCUUAUAAGCGUGUUGUGAAAUGUCGGGGCUCAACCUGGGCAUUGCAGCGCGAACUGUGAGACUUGAGUGCGCAGGAAGUAGGCGGAAUUCGUCGUGUAGCGGUGAAAUGCUUAGAUAUGACGAAGAACUCCGAUUGCGAAGGCAGCCUGCUGUAGCGCAACUGACGCUGAAGCUCGAAAGCGUGGGUAUCGAACAGGAUUAGAUACCCUGGGUAGU